rnacentral:rRNA from 2 species
CCUAAAUCCCUCUGCCUGGCGGCGGCCUACCUGCAGUCGAGCGGAUGACGGGACUUGCUCCUUGAUUAGCGGCGGAGGGUGGUAUGCCUAGGUUCUGCCUGGUAGUGGGGGUCUCGUUCCGUAGUGGCGCUAAUACCGCAUACGUCUUACGGGAGUUGUGGGGGAUCUUCGGAGUUCACGCCACCAGUCGAUCUUAGGUCGAAUAGCUAGUUGGUGAGGUAUCGGCUCCUAAGGCGACGACUGUAACCGGUCUGAGAGGAUGAUCUGUCACACCGGUACCGAGUCACGGUCCAGUCUCCUACGGGAGGCAGCAGUGGGGAAAUAUUGGAAAAAUGGGCGAAAGCCCUGAACCAGCCCACGCCCGCGUGUGUGAAGAAUGGUCUUUCCGGAAUUGUAAAGCAAUUUUAAAGUUUGGGAGGAAUGGGCAAGUAAGUUAAUACCUUUGCUGUUUUUGACGUUACCCGACCAGAUAUAAGCACCCGGCUAACUCUGUGCCCAGCAGCCCGCGGUAAAUACAGAUGGGUGCAAGCGUUAAUCGGAAUUACUGGGCGUAAAGCGCGCGUAGGUGGUUCGUUAAGUUGGAUGUGAAUAGCUCUCGGGCUCAACUCUGGGAUCCUGCAUCUCAAAACUGGCGAGCUAGAGUAUGGUAAGAAGGGGUGGGUGGAAAUCUCCCUGUGUAGCGGUGAAAUUGCGUAGAAUAAUAGGGAAAGGAACCACCAGUGGCGAAAGCGACCAACCUGGACUGGAU